UACAGAGGGUGCGAGCGUUGUUCGGAAUUACUGGGCGUAAAGCGCGCGCAGGCGGCCCUUUAAGUCGGUCGGUCAAACGCCGGGGCUCAACCCCGUGCUCGCCGGAGAUACUGGAGGGCUGGAGACAGGUAGAGGCAGGCGGAAUUCCUGGUGUAGCGGUGAAAUGCGCAGAUAUCAGGAAGAACACCUAUGGCGAAAGCAGCUCUCUGGGACGUUACUGACGCUGAGACGCGAAAGCGUGGGGAGCAAACAGG
rnacentral:rRNA from 1 species